AGCAGCUCAGGUUCAUUUAAAGUCAAGUCACAACAAGUAAGGCAUCACUUAAUACAAUGCUUUUCCAUUUUAAGGUACCACGCUCUGGAAUUUCAGGCUAGAGGGCAAUUCCUUCAAGUGGUCACAACAUGAAAGUCCACGUGAUAUUAUAACAUGGUUGGGACUCUGACACAUUCAGCACUUAAAGUAAAAUUAAGGUAGACCAGGCCUCUCUCUGAAGUAGAAAACCCAUGUCAUCGCAACUGAUUUGCACUAACACACGCGCAGUCACAAAGACACGUGUUCCACUGCAUGAACACAAACAAGCCAACAACCAGCAACCUACAAGGAAACUAUGAUUCAAGUCAAUUUGGUUGAAGAAAAACAAAUUCACUCAAUGGGAAGAAUGAAGUUUCUGCUGUGCGUUAACCGGAGAAUUGAAGUCAGGUAUCAUCGCUGUUGUUGCAAUGCAAAGCACUGCUGCAAGGUGGUCAUCGCUCCAAGAUCGGUUUUGAUUUAUUGAAUUUCGGCACAGAAAACAUCGGCUCACACAUGCAUGUUGAUCUGAACAACACGAGCCUCCCUCUUCUGGGCUUGAGGCCUGAUCUCUGGAAACUUCUGUUCAUCGCGAGAGGAAUAAACCUACAAAGUGGACUGAUUUGAAUUGCUCUGCAAGCAAGGUAUUACACUGCAGGUCAAUCAGCUUGAGAUGGAGAUCACAUGGCACGUUGUUAGCCUCAAAUGUGAAAGUGAGGAAACCAAAGACAGGUCUUUUUCUAUCAUUCCAACAUCCUUGAAUCAGCGAGAAAAUUCAGCAUGCAAGUCAAGUAAUGACGAUGCGUAUUUUUUCCAGGCUUUGAUCACAAACAGCAAUCUGCUGCAACGUAGGAAAACGGGUGAACUCCUUGUUUCGUAUCUCACAGGAGAAAAGGAGUCGCUUUGUCGUAAAUGACUUCGACCCUGAAAUGCAAUUCAUGAGCAAGAAGCCCCUUCCCUUGCAGUCUUGAAUUGAGUUCGUCCAUGUGGUCCAUGAUUUUGCGAAUGGAAAAUCAGAGCGCCAAUCCGCAUCAGUGGGAAAUCCAAAUCUUUUUCUCUUUCGUGUUCAAAAACAAAACCAAUCUUGGCUCAGUUCCCACGUUCUUUUCAAAACGUUACCCAAAUUAAGCCAUGUUACGCUGAGCAUGUCUGUGUGCUCAGAUUCCCUCAAGCAGAGUUACAAACUGCCUGUGGUUUAAUCCUCUCGUUCAAAUGUAGUUGUCUGCUUUCGUAACUGUGUCCACGACCGUGCUUGGUUUCAGAACGCUUCUGCAGAGGACACUGUGAUGAAUAAUGCAAUGUAGAAAAAUAAUGUUCUGUUCUGGAUUUGUUUCUUUGACUUGGCCUUGAAUUCUUUUCAGCUACCCAACACGUUUGCCUGUCAGAUUUGGGCUUCCAUCGGCGGUCACACUCACCAAUUUUUUCUGCUCCAUUCCUAAUUUUGACAUGCAUUGAUUUACUGCCUCCAAUAAAUCUUUUCCAGUUGUUGCA